rnacentral:rRNA from 1 species
UGAAUACGAGACGCUAAGGCGCCGAAGUAGUGUAUGUCAUACUUCCAAGAAAAGCUUGCACUGUCAUAGAUAAAAAACGCCUGUACCAUAACCGACACAGGUGGGUAGGUAGAGUAUACUAAGGGGCGCGAGAUAACUCUCUCUAAGGAACUCGGCAAAAUAACUCCGUAACUUCGGGAGAAGGAGUGCCUUAUUCGUAAGGUUGCAAUAACAAGAUCCAAGCAACUGUCUAUCAAAAACACAGGUCUCCGCUAAGUCGUAAGACGAUGUAUGGGGGCUGACGCCUGCCCAGUGCCAGAAGGUUAAAGAAGUUGGUUAGCAAUUGCGAAGCUGAUAACUGAAGCCCUGGUGAACGGCGGCCGUAACUAUAACGGUCCUAAGGUAGCGAAAUUCCUUGUCGGGUAAGUUCCGACCCGCACGAAAGGCGUAAUGAUUUGGAUACUGUCUCGGAGAGGGGCUCGGUGAAAUAGACUUGUCUGUGAAGAUGCGGACUACCUGCACCAGGACAGAAAGACCCUAUGAAGCUUUACUGUAACUUGAAAUUGAAAUUGGACUUUAUUCGCGCAGUAUAGGUGGGAGGCGUUGAUUAUAAUCUUGUGGGAUUAUUGGAGCCAUCAGUGAGAUACCACUCUUGUAAUGUUAGAUUUCUAACUUUGAAUCAUUAUCUGGUCAAAGAACAGUUUCAGGCGGGCAGUUUGACUGGGGCGGUCGCCUCCUAAACGGUAACGGAGGCGUACAAAGGUUUCCUCUGAACGGUUAGAAAUCGUAUCUAGAGUGUAAAGGCAUAAGGAAGCUUGACUGUGAGACCUACAAGUCGAGCAGGGACGAAAGUCGGUCUUAGUGAUCUGACGGUACUGAGUGGAAAGGCCGUCACUCAACGGAUAAAAGUUACUCUAGGAUAACAGGCUGAUCUCCCCCAAGAGUUCACAUCGACGGGGAGGUUUGGCACCUCGAUGUCGGCUCAUCGCAUCCUGGGGCGGUAGUACGUCCCAAGGGUUGGGCUGUUCGCCCAUGAAAGCGGUACGCGAGCUGGGUUCAGAACGUCGUGAGACAGUUCGGUCCAUAUCCGGUGUAGGCGUUAGAAUAUUGAGAGGAGCCUUCUUUAGUACGAGAGGACCGAGAAGGACAUACCUCUGGUGUACCAGUUAUCGUGCCAACGGUAAACGCUGGGUAGCUAUGUAUGGAGUGGAUAACCGCUGAAAGCAUCUAAGUGGGAAGCCCACCUCAAGAUAAGUA